GCUGGGCGCGGUGGUGCACGCCUGUCAUCCCAGCAGCUUGGGAGGCUGAGGCAGGAGGAUCGAAUGUUCAAGGCCAGCCUCAGCAACUUAGAGAGGCCCUAAGCAACUCAGUGAGACCCUGUCUCUA
rnacentral:sRNA from 1 species